rnacentral:rRNA from 1 species
UACGAAGGGGGGCUAGCGUUGCUCGGAAUCACUGGGCGUAAAGCGCACGUAGGCGGAUUGUUAAGUCAGGGGUGAAAUCCUGGAGCUCAACUCCAGAACUGCCUUUGAUACUGGCGAUCUUGAGUCCGGGAGAGGUGAGUGGAACUGCGAGUGUAGAGGUGAAAUUCGUAGAUAUUCGCAAGAACACCAGUGGCGAAGGCGGCUCACUGGCCCGGUACUGACGCUGAGGUGCGAAAGCGUGGGGAGCA